GCCUCGCCCCGCCCUGCCGCCUCGGCCCUCUCCUCCCGCUGCGCUCCAGGACCUGAAAGGCCGGGGAGCCCCGGGAUCUCGUGGACAGCCCAGACAGGCCCGGAGAGGGAACCCAGGAAUCAAUGGCAGCAAACGGAAGCAAAAGAUGACCCCUUUAACUGCUUGCCAUCUACCCACUGUGAGGAGCCCCUAGAAGCCAUCAAAAUCCUGCCCUAGAAAUUUGGAAUUGGGAUAGAAAGAGAGUUACUGUCUCUGGCUGUCUGGAACCAUUUCUGGCUCAAUGCCUGGAAUCCCUCCAGCCAGCCAGCUUGCUACCCAGCCUGAGGAUGACGUCAACAUACAAAGAACCGAACAGGGAGGUGGAAAGAACCUGGCUGUUUACCGAUAGCACUGAGUCCUCG
rnacentral:lncRNA from 1 species